GUCUACCAGUUGCCACUUCUGGUCCAUUUGCAUAUAACACUGGAGAAGUGUUCCUUUAUCUUUGUGAAGCCCUUAACAUUCAAGGAGCCACUACUGCUUCUAUGCUGCUGAAAAAUACAAGACACUGCCUCUACCUCUGCAUCUGUCCUUUGCUUUUUGCUUGGAAACUAUCACAUCAAAUCACACUGAGAUCAGGAGAUGAGAUGAAGGAUCAGCUGAGGAACAGUCAUCCCAACAGUAGUGCCUGGUAAGACGGUGAGGCUAUUCCCACUCCCAGCAUCCUCUGUUCUCUUCUGGACCAACCCAGUUAUUCAAUCCCUGAGCUUUCUCAUGUGGUUCUGGUAAAUCCACUUUUUGCUUAGUUCCUACUGAGCUCUCACUGGCAAACUAUCAGUAGAAGAAGCCUGGCUUCUUUCUCUGCUAGUGUUGGCGUCUCCCUGCUUUCUUCCUUUCAAAUGAUGGUAUUAGAUCUGUCUUUCUCUACUACGAGCUGCAAUGCCCCUGUUACAGAAAAAAAAGAUUUGAGGAGACAGCUUGAAGCACCAUGGUUGUUUUCUUAGAAGUUCUCUGUAAAAUUUUUCAUGGUAUAUGAUCUUAAAAAUUAAAAACAAAAUUUACUGAAAAA
rnacentral:lncRNA from 1 species